rnacentral:rRNA from 1 species
UACGUAGGGUGCAAGCGUUGUCCGGAAUUAUUGGGCGUAAAGAGCUCGUAGGCGGUUUGUUGCGUCGGCUGUGAAAUCCCGAGGCUCAACCUCGGGUCUGCAGUCGAUACGAGCAAACUAGAGUGUUGCAGGGGAGACUGGAAUUCCCGGUGUAGCGGUGAAAUGCGCAGAUAUCGGGAAGAACACCCGUGGCUAAGGCGGCUCUCUAGUACGGUACUGACGCUGAGACGCGAAAGCGUGGGGGAGCGAACAGGG